GAUAUUACGCCGGACCGAACGGAUAACUUUGAUGAAGUUAAAUAUAGGAUUGAUGCCUCCUUAAUAUCU
rnacentral:tRNA from 1 species